GAACCGGCACUAUUUUUUAAUCAACAAUUGUUUUGGCAUGAUCGGUCACCAAGACAAAUUGGUACAAUGGGACUUGUAAAACUGACAAUUACAAUUUCAUUUUGGAUAUUUAUUGUAAACGGGUCUUGUCCUUUUGAAUACUACAAGUGUUCUGAGUUCCUUGAUUGGUGUUGUCCUGAUGGCUAUACAUGUACUGGUAAUAACUCAUGUGACAAAAACUCGACAUACCCAACCUCAUCAUCAGGAGGGGCCAUUGUUGGUGGCAUUUUAGGUAGCAUAGUUUUGAUAGCAGUCGUGAGCGGUUGUCUCUCUGCGGCUGUGAAAUGAAUAUCAUUGGUUAAAAGCGACCGCGUGGAGACCGUGUAUAUUUAAUAUGGGGUAAGUAUGUGUGGUUUAUUUUAAUACACGGUUAGUAGUGGUGCUACGUCCCUUUAUAAAAACAACACGGCGUUCAGGAAUAAUCUGACACGUUUCGCCCGGACAACAGAUGAAGAAAUUGAUGAUGAACGAUUGAAAUAAACCAGAAAAAACAUUAAAAGCUAACAAGUUGUUAUUGUUGGCAUUUGUUUUUGUAUAGACCAAUGGAAGUAGAUUCUUUAUAUUGAAGACUUAAUCACUUUGAUAGGACACUUACGGAAGCCGGUUAGUGUCAGGGUGUAGUUUAAUUUUUAAGUCGUUAUAACGACUUAGCUAACUUGUCAUAACGACUUAGCUAAUUCGUUAAAACGACUACGCUUACCUAACUCGUUAUAACGACUUAGUAACUCGUUAUAACAACUAAGCUAACUCGUUAUAACGACUUAGCUUAACUAACUCGUUAAAAUGACUUAAUUUCGACUAUAAGUGCACAUUAAUUUAAAAAAUAGAAGUUGAAAGAUGUACAACUGCAAAAUAGAAAUUGUUUAAUUUGUCUUGAUGAAUUGUUCAAACGGAAGAGGUAAAUCACAGAAGCCUAUUUUUGGUUUGCUUAGUUUUAUCAGUAGUAGAUCAAGGACUUUUAAAAGGGGGAGUGGUUUCAUGUUAACAAGGGGACGAGAAGGGAGCCAAACCUUAUAUUAUACUAUUUUUAAGAAUAAGGAGAUAAUCAGUUAAAUUCAACGGGUCAGCAAAAUAACCCAAAAGAUUACCAUGCAUAGGUAUUAAACAAUUUAGAUUUAUCAGUAAAUGUCUUUAAAUUUGACACCCUUGUAAAGUUCUACGUUAUAUAUUUAGAAAAUGCUUGCGAUCUUCGAUGUAUUUAGGACAUUUAAGUAAAAAAUGUAUUUCAUCUUCAAUUUCUUUUUUUGCAAUUGUACAUCUUCCAAUUUCUAUUUCUAAUUAAUGUGCACUUAUUGUCGAAAUUUAGAAAUCUAUAAAUAAGAAGAUAAUCGAAAAUAAAUCAAGACCAAAAUAUUAGGGGGUAUACUUAAGUCCUGGAAUUAAGAAAGUAGUUAAGUCGUUAUAACGAGUUAGUUAAGCUAAGUCGUUAAAACUAGUUACUAAGUCGUUAUAAUGAGUUGACUAAGUCAUUAUAAUGAGUAAGCUAAGUCGUUAUAACGAGUUACUAAGUUGUUAUAACUAGUUACUAAGUCGUUAUAACGAGUAAGCUAAGUCGUUAUAACGAGUUAGCUAAGUCGUUUUAACGAGUUAGCUAAGUUGUUAUAACGAGUUACUAAAUAAAGGCAACAGUAGUAUACCGCUGUUUAAAAGUCAUAAAUCGAUUGAGAGAAAAACAAAUCCGCUUACAAACUAAAACCGAGGGAAACACAUCAACUAUAAGAGGAAAACAACGGAACAACAGAAACACUGAAGUGCAACAGAAACAAACGCCAACAUACAUAGAAACGAACUAUUUGAUAACAACUGCCAUAUUCCUGACUUGGUACAGGACAUUUUAAGAAAAAAUGGUGUGUUGAACCUGGUUUAAUGGCUAGCCAAACCUCCCGCUUAUAUGGCAAUGUUAAAAAAAUAUCGCUAAAAUGACAACACUACGUGACAGAAAUACAGCACAAACAAACGCAAGAACACUCAGCACAGAGAAACGCGCAAUAAAUAAUAUAAUAGUCGUUACAACAUGUAAACCGCAGAAUAAUAACGAACAUCUUCCAUUAACGACAGCACAGGACAUCACAAACAGUGACGUGUUUUUUGUAACGAAUAUAUUAAUCUUGAAAUUCAUACAAUUAUUUUCACAAGUCGUUAUAACGAGUUGGGUAAGCUAAGUCGUUAUAACGAGUUAGCAAAGUCGAUAUAACAAGUUAGCUUAGUCGUGACUUAGAAAUAAAACUACUCCCUGACACUAACAGGCUUCCAUAGACACUAGUCUAAAUGUCACAUGUUAAGAUAGUCGGUGAUAUAAUUCGUUACACAAUGUGCUAGUGACAUAAUACAAUACGACAUAUAUAGAGUCAGUACAUAUGGAAUUUACUGACCACAUAUAUAUCGUUUUAGGUCACUAGCAAACUGUGUGACUAAUAUUAUGCAAAUUAUAAAUCCGACGGCAAGAUGGUUGCUUGAGUAAAUAUUACAAUCAUAUUCCAAGUAGUAACAUUUUUGACUGAGUAUGGAUUGGCCGGUCGGUCGAUGCAUGCAUAACAAUAUAGUUUAUUGAUUGAUUGUUGGUUGCUUAACGUCCAGUGGCAAAUAUUUCAUGCAUAUUCAGGACGAAUAUAGUUUAUUACACACGCUUAUUCUGUUGAAAAACUGUAUCGCUCCUUGUGGAGAUUGAGAUUCCUCUUGGGUUUGUUGGGUUUUUUUUUUAAUUGUAUCAACAAAAUAGAUUUACUAAGAGAGAAUUUUUAAUUGUGAUGCAUUUUUUUCAACCCAACCAAAUACAUAAGUGGAAAUAUCCCAGAUAAUUCAAUUUUAUAAAGAAAUCUACAGUAAAUUUACCCAUAUUGUUUUGUAGCUUGAAAAUAAAACAAGUACGGUGACCACAACUUUAUUUUCUGAUGGCACAUUAUAUAAGAGCUAUCUUAUAUAUUUAUUUUAAAUCUACUUAGUCUAAAUUUCAAUCUUUUAGUUUUCUCUCUAUUCACACAAAAUUGCUUUUUCAACACAUUUCAUUACAAAUCUGACAAUUUUGCACAAUCUUUAGCUAAAAAAAAAAAGAAGCUCUGUGACGAUCCUUUUUAUUAUAUUUUUAAAAGGCAUGAUAUUAUGACUGAUCAGCAAACAGGCCAUAACUAUGAUUAACUAUAUGUUGAAGUCUUGGGAAAACGACGGAUGCCACUUAUGUUCUGAGGGCCUUACAAUGUCAGUUUUAAAAAAUAACACUUGUAUAUAGAUACACUAACGUAUGUUCGUCUUUUCUUAAACUUUUCCAGAGAAACUUUAGAGUAAAUUUUUCCAUGGACAGAGGAUUAUAGCUAUUUCCUUAUUUUUUGUUUUAUUUUUUCCUCAACCUUUUUCUUGAUUUUGGCAGGUUUAAAAACAUCCAUCUGUUACACAAAACAAUUCAAAACUAUUGUGAUCUAUAGAAUACUUCAUUCAAUUCAAUUUAGUAAAAUAUUGGUUUUUAAAUGAUUAUUAUUGACGUAACUAUAAUCUUCCUUCUUUAACACGAUAAAUGUUGUCUAGAGUUUUAUGAUAGGAUCGGUACAUCCCUAUAAUUGCAUGUGCAUAUUGUGUUUAUUCUGCAAAAGUUAAUGCAACCAAGGCGUCAACAAACUUAAAGCUGUAAACAUUUUCAAUUUCUGUGUACAUUUAAUUACGACAUCAAGCUAUUUGAUCAGUUUGCAAUAGGAGUUUCGUUUGAUCAACUUUACCGAACAAAAACGAUAUUUGUGAUAGAAAAUGAAAAUGGUAAUGGUAUUGACGGUUCUCUGUAUGGUAAUACUGGGUGCAAGUUCUCAGUAUAUGACAAGGGAGUACUGCCAGGAUAUCUGGUGUGGAGAUAUGCAAUCAGCAACAGAAUGUAUAAGCUGUUGUCAAACCAAAGGAUUUAGUGCAGGUGGAGAGUGUAGUUAUGACAAGUGUGUGUGUUACCUUAACGAAGAUAACACCGACCGUUGAUCGUCCAAGAAGACACGACACAGUUAAAAUUCAUGAAUAAAUAACUAUUUCUCUAACAA